rnacentral:rRNA from 1 species
UGGGGAAUAUUGGACAAUGGGGGCAACCCUGAUCCAGCAAUGCCGCGUGUGUGAAGAAGGCCUUAGGGUUGUAAAGCACUUUAGGUUGGGAAGAAGUUGUUUAGUUUAAGAGACGAAACAAUUGACGGUACCGACAGAAUAAGCACCGGCUAACUCUGUGCCAGCAGCCGCGGUAAUACAGAGGGUGCGAGCGUUAAUCGGAGUUACUGGGCGUAAAGGGCGCGUAGGCGGUUAUUUAAGUUAGAUGUGAAAUCCCUGGGCUUAACCUAGGAACUGCAUCUAAUACUGGGUGACUGGAGUAUUGUAGAGGGUAGUGGAAUUUCCGGUGUAGCGGUGAAAUGCGUAGAGAUCGGAAGGAACACCAGUGGCGAAGGCGGCUACCUGGACAAAUACUGACGCUGAGGCGCGAAAGCGUGGGGAGCAAACAG